AAAAGCUCGUAGUUGGAUCUCAGAUCCGGCCGGACGGUCCGCCUACCGGUGGUUACUGUUCGUUGCCGAUCGUUCAGGCGGUUAUUCUUGAUGAUCUUCACCGGUUGUCUCGGGUGACCGCCAAGUUUACUUUGAAAAAAUUAGAGUGCUCAAAGCAGGCGUGACGCCUGAAUAAUUGUGCAUGGAAUAAUGGAAUAGGACCUCGGUUCUAUUUUGUUGGUUUUCGGAACACGAGGUAAUGAUUAAGAGGGACAGACGGGGGCAUUCGUAUUGCGACGCUAGAGGUGAAAUUCUUGGACCGUCGCAAGACGAACUACUGCGAAAGCAUUUGCCAAGAAUGUUUCCAUUAAUCAAGAACGAAAGUUAGAGGUUCGAAGGCGAUCAGAUACCGCCCUAGUUCUAACCAUAAACGAUGCCAGCCAGCGAUCCGGCUGUGUUCCUCAAAUGACACGCCGGGCAGCUUCCGGGAAACCAAAGCUUUUGGGUUCCGGGGGAAGUAUGGUUGCAAAGCUGAAACUUAAAGGAAUUGACGGAAGGGCACCACCAGAAAUGGAGCCUGCGGCUUAAUUUGACUCAACACGGGAAAACUUACCCGGCCCGGACACAGGAAGGAUUGACAGAUUAAGAGCUCUUUCUUGAUUCUGUGGGUGGUGGUGCAUGGCC
rnacentral:rRNA from 1 species